AAGAACCGGUCACUGUCAUUACCUGCUCGUUCGGAUAUGGGAAUACCGGUGUUGA
rnacentral:sRNA from 1 species